AUUAUUAUUAUUAUUAUUUUAUUUCUACUUUUUUAAUUUUAAAACUCACAAAUAAAAUCCCCCUCUCAACCCUUUUAAUAAAUUAAUAAAUGAUGAUGCAUAACAGCCAUAAUACCACUAGGCAGUUUCAGGAUCUUACCUCUUUUUAUUAGGAGUCAUCGAAAUUAACAAGAAUCAUCAAAAUAGACAAUAAUCAUCAGCUCAGCUUGAGCAAAGCUUAUGAGCAAGCAGACUGCUCCAAGAGCUGAGGUCGCUUAAUGGCAUGUCUUUUUCUAGCAGUGAGACUCUGUACUAAAAACAUGGGCUGAAGGAUUUGCAUAACUCUGUACUUAAAGGAAAGGAGCCCUGGUGGUGCGGUGGUUAAAGCAACUGACUGCUAACUGAAAGGUUGAUGGUUCUAAACCACCAGCAGCGCUGUGGGAGAAAGAUAUGGCAGUUUGCUUCCGUAGAGAUUUACAGCCUUGGAAACCCUAUGGGGUCGCUACGAGUCAAGAUGGACUCAACGGCAGUGGGUCUGAGUUUUGGUACUUGAAGGAAGAGCACAUCAUCAGGUGGUUUGACUUGGAAAGUCACCUCUAACCCAAACCUUUCCUUACUAAGAGCUUCUCCCACUAGCCUGCCAGGACACGGUAGAGUACUCUGCCUUUAUUAAAAAUUUCUUUCUGUGAUUCAUCACCUCAACAUUGACUAAAAACUUAUUAUUAAUAUCUUUUAUAAUGUUUACUUCUAAUUUCUACUCUAAUUUCAUUGUUGUAUUUUUAUACUUUAGGCUUUCUGCCUUUUAUCCUCACGUUUUUAACUUAAAACCAAUUUACUUCAUUUGUAUAUUCUUAAAAAUAACAUUUACUCUUAAUCUCAUCCUUAACUUUUAAUUUUUAGAUCUAGCUUCUUGUUUACAUUUAUUUAUUUUCAAGUUUAAUUUUUUUUUACCUAAUUGGUUUUCUUUAUUUUAAAAUUGAUAGUUUAUCUUUGGGAGAAACUCUCUUAUCUUAAAAUUAUGUUCUAUUUCUCCCUCUAUUUUUUUUUAGACUCCAUCUAUUUAAAUUCCUGUUUUCCAUUUAUUAUUUUAUUUUCAUUUUUUCUGUCCUGCUGAACAAUCUGACAUCCUGGCUCAUGUUCAAGACGAGAAUCUUGGUCCUGCCCACAGAUGACUCUUUGGGCCAUCUGCAUGAAGGGUGGCUUUCUGUUCCUGAAUUGUACUUAUUAAACUAAAUUUUCACAAGAGGAUGUCAAUUCUUUGUGCAAGCUCCAUUGAGACUUAACUGGUGAUUAUCCAGAAAUGUAACUGGCAAUACAUUAUAAUUGCAAUUCCGUUCUUAACAAAGACUUAUUUGAAAGAAACAUGAUUGACUGAAGAUUUACUGAAAGAAAUGUCAUUGUUCCCUGUCUCUAGGUGCUUCAAGAUGAGCCCCUGGAUUCAUCAGGUCAGAUCAUCAGAUAGUCUGUAUCGGAAUUUAUAGGGUUUUUGUUCUGUAUAGAUUGAUUUUACGAAAUUAUGUUUUAGCAUUGUCUCAUUGGUCUGUUUUGAGGAAUUUUUUUAAUUGCCUUAAGGUUAAUGUGUUAAUGUAUUUACUGCAAAUACACUGAGAAUACAGAUCAUUACGUUAGAGUUUCCCCUGACUAACCGCUUUGUUUUGGGUUUUGUAUCAUUAUUGAUAUGUUCAGUUUAAGACCCUCUGGAUUAUAUAACUGCUAUUAUUUUUCUUGGAGCCCUGGUGCUGCAGUGGUUAAGAGCUAAUGAAAAGGUUGGCAGCUGGAAACCACCAGCUGCCCCUUGGAAACACUAUGGGGCAGUUCUACUCUGUUCUGUAGUGUCACUAUGAGUUGGCAUAGACUCGACAGCAAAGGGUUUGGUUUAUUAUUUUUCUCUUUUUUGUUGACUGCUAGAGAACACAGAGACAAAAUUAUGACCCAUAGCUCACAAGCACACAGUUUCUCUUGGUAGACAUUUUACUACUUACUUACAGUUUUUUUUUUCCCCCCUCACUUCAAUAUUCUUUUUGCUAUGAUUUUCUUGGUUACGUAUUUUAAUUUUAUCUGGGCAUAUUAUAUGCAUUAUUACACUCCACCUUAAAGAAUUUUGAAACAAGAAAUACUCUGAAAAAGAAAAACAAAGAAAAGGUCAGCAUUACUAACCCCAUUUUGCUCACAAGAAAACCAGGACAGUGUGAUAAUAAUAGGCAGCCAGUCAGUCGCGGAACUGAAAGUGGAGCAUCCAUCUUUGAGUUACAAAAUGACUUAAAAUUCAAGAAUCCAAAGCUAUUAGACUGUGUUGCUAUGUUUUACUUGCCAGAUUCCAUCAACACUGGGAAUCAACCAUCAGUCAGAAAUAAUCAAAUUACUUGUGCUGUUUUCUCUAUGUUAUUUUCAGUAUUAUUAAAGUUCUAGAAAUAUAUCAGCCCAGCCAAACCCAGUGAAUAUAAGGAACUGAAAGUAUUAGCUCCCACCUCUUGGCCAUAUGUUCAGAAAAAUCUUAGACAAGUUCAAUUUGAUAUUUUGUGAAUACCCAUCCAGAAAUUCUGUAGGCUUUGCUGAGUGGGUUUGUGGGCAAUUUUAAAGUAUACAAGUUUAAUCAAGAUUAUAUACAUGAGAAUAACAUAAAGAUUCAUUUUGCCAUAAAGACCCAUUGUUGGCACUUAAAAUUAAGCAGAACGUUUAAAUGACACUGGUAAAAUAUUUCAGAUUAGGAAUAAAAUCGUUCUGUCAGAUCCUGCUCUUUAAGCCACAGAAAAGUUUGAGACUCAACCUCUGCUCCAUAGAACUUUAUGUUUGUUUUGGAGCUUAAUACUCUGUUGAUACCAUCCAGAGACUUUUCUACAAGAUUCUUUUUGUUGCGUUUUCUGAUUAUUAAAGUAACUUCUCAUUGCAGAAAACUGAAAAAAGCAAAAAGGUAUAGAACGGGAAAUGAAACUGAAAUCCUCAGUAUUAAAAAAAAUGAACAUUAUUGUCAUUAGCUGCUGUCUAGUCAGCUCUGACUCGUGGAGACUUUAUGUAGAACAAGACGAAACAUUGCCCAGUCCUGUGCCAUCCUUACAAUUGUUGAUUCACAGUUCAUACAUUCCACAUUCUGUUUAUUAAUGGAUGUUUGCAGCUGUUUCUUCUCAUUUUGAGUCCUGCCACAUCAGCAAAUGAACGUCCAGAAAGCUUGACUCCAUCCAUGCCAUAAAGAUCGACUCUCCUUUGAGGAAACAGUUCUUUCCUUGCCAUAUUUUGAGUGCCUUCCAACCCAAAGGGCUUAUCUUCUGACAUUAUAUCAAUGUUCUGCUGCUAUUCGUGAGGUUUUUACUGGCUAAUUCUUUUCAGAAGUAGACCGCUGGGUCCUUCUUUCUUGUCUAUCUUAGUCUGGAAGUUCAGCUGAAACCUGUCUACCAUGAGCGACCCUGCUGGUGUUUGAAUACUGGUGGCUUAGCUUUCAGCAUCACAACAACAUGCAAGGCCCACAGUACGACAACUGACAGACACAUGAGGGACAUGGAAUGUACCAAGUAUGAAUCAAGGAAAAUUAGAAGUCAUCAAAAAUGAAAUAGAACGCUUUAAAAUUGAUACCCUAGGCAUUAGUCAGCUGAAAUGGACUGGUAUUGGCUGUUUUGAAUAGGGCAAUAAUAUGCUGUACUAUGCUGAGAAUGACAAAUUCAAGAAAACGGUGUCGUAUUCAUUAUUAAAAAGAACACUAAAAGAUCUAUCCUGAAGUACAAUGUCAGUGACAGGAUAGUCACUUACAAGGAAGACCAGUUAACACUAUUAUUCAAAUUUACACACCAAACACUAAUGCCAAAGAUGAAGAAAUUGAACAUUUUUACCAACUUCUGCAGUCUGAAAUUGAUCAAACAUGCAGUCAAGACUCAUUGGUAAUUGCUGGUGAUUGGAAUGUGAAAGUUGGAAACAAAGCAGGAUCAGUAGUUGGAAAAUAUGGCCUUGGUUCUAGAGACAAUGCUAGAGCUCAAAUGAGAGAAUUUUGCAAGACCAAUGACUUAUUCCUCAGAAGUAUUUUUUUUCAACAACAUAAAUGGCAACUAUACAUGUGGACCUGCCCAGUGAAAUACACAGGAAUCAAAUUGACUGUAUCAGUGGAAAGAGAUGAUGGAGAAACUCAACAUCAUCAUCAGAACAAGGCCAGAGUACAACUGCAGAACAGACCAUCAAUUUUUCAUAAGUAAGUUGAAGUUGAAGAAAAUUAAAGCAAGCCCAUGAGAGCCAAAGAGUCUUGAGUAUAUCCCACCUGAAUUUAGAGACCAUCACAAGAAUAGAUUUGAGACAUAGAACGUUAAUGACCAGUGAUCAGAAGAGUUGUGCAGUAACAUCAAAGACAUUGUAUAUGAAGAAAGCAAGAGGUCAUUAAAAAGACAAAAAACAAAGAAAAGGCCAAAGUGGAUGUCAGCAGAGACUCUGAAACUUGUUCCUGAACAUUGAGUAGCUAAAACAAAUGAAACCCAACAACCCUACAAAGUAGAUAUGCUGCUUAUAUUUUUUGUAUAUUUACUGAAUUAAAAGUACAUGAAAUUUAAUGCCAAUCUAUUUUCUGAAAUGUUAUUCCCAUUUAAACUUUUAUCAGCAGUAUAUCAAAGAGUCUAUAUAAUCGUAUUUUUUAACACCAUUGGGUAUCUCUGCACCUUUGAAGUUUAUAACAACUUAUUUUUAGCUUCCAUUUAUUUCAUUAUUAAUUAGGUUGAGAUUUUAUAAAAUGUUUAUUGACCAUUUGUAAAAUCUCUUGUAUGAAAAUUUGCACCACUAUCAGUUCUUCUUUUGGGAAUUAACUUUUUUCAUUGAUCUUUAAAUGUCUUCACUUAAUAAGAAUAUUAACUCCUUGUCUAUGGUUUCUCGUAUUUUCCCAGGUUCUCUUUGCCUUUUUGAUGUUUUUGUUAUACAAAAAGUUUUAAUUUUUUACAUGUAAAAUAUAUGUUAAUAUUUUCUGCCAUAGCAUAUGCCCUUAAUUUUCCUCCCUCAUCCUGAGAUGUUAAAUAUUCAGUUAGAUUUUCUUGUUUAUAGUUUUCCAAUACUUAAAUUUUUGAUUCACCUGGGGAUUUAUCAUGGUACAUGAUGCAAUGGUGGUGCAGUGGUUAAAACUUCGCUGCUAACCAAAUGGUCAGCAGUUCGAAUCCACCAGCCACUCCUUGAAAAUCCUAUGGGACAGUUCCACACUGUCCUAUAGGGUCACUAGGAGUUAGAAUCAACUUGACGGCUAUGGGUUUGGUUUGGGUUUUUUAAUGAUGAAAUGAGAAAGUUUAAGCUAACCUCCUCCUCCUCUCAAAGAAAAAACCAAUUUCUAACACCAUUUAUUGAAGAAUCUAAUCCCUCACAUCCAUAUGUAUAAUUCUAAUAUAUAGUAUUUUGUAUAUACAUGUACAUAUAACAUAGACAGACACAUGCAUACACACAAUCACUAUGGUCUGAUUAAUUUAUCAAUUUUUAUUACAUUUAGGGCAAAAUCCCAGCUCAGAUUUCUUCUACUAAAAAAAAAAGUUUAGCUACUCUCAUUUUUUUAAUAUUCCAAAAGUUAUAUCUAAAUAUUUAUUUCAAAUUCCUAAAAUGACCCCACUAUAAUUUUUACUUAGACGUGCAAUAAGUCUAUAAAUUAAUCUGGGAAACUAACAUCUUUAAAACAGUUUAUAAGGAAAAGUUUGUCUCUACACAUCAGAAAUUUUCCCUUUUUUUAUUUAGUAAGGCUUUAUAAUUUACUUUAUGUGCCUCAUUAUACUUCUUCUUAGGAUGUUCCUUUACUGUAUAUUAUUACUAUCUGGAAUGAAAUAAUUUUCUUCCAUUAUAUCUGCUAUGUAGUUAUUAUUUUAUUGGAAAGCUACUGUCUUAGUCAUCUAGUGCUGCUGUAACAGAAAUACCACAAGUGGAUGGCAUUAACAAAGAAAAAUUUAUUUUCUCAUAGUAAAGUAAGCUAAAAGUCCAAAAUCAGGGUGUCAGCUCCAGAGGAAGGCUUCCUUUCUCUGCUGGCUCUGGAGGAAGGUCCUUGUCCUCAAUCUUCCCCUGGUCAAGGAUCUUCUCAGGCUCAGGAACCCUGGGUCCAAAGAACAUGCUCUGCUCCCGGUACUGCUUUCUUGGUGGUAGGAGUUCCCCAACUCUCCGUUUGCUUCCCUUUUUAUCUCUUGAGAGAUAAAAGGUGGUGCAGGCCACACCCCAGGGAAACUCCCUUUACAUUGGAUCCAGAAUGUGACCUGGGUAAGGGUGUUAUAAUCCCAUCCUAAUCCUCUUUAACAUAAAAUUACAGUCAUGAAAUGGAGGACAACCACACAAUACUGGAAAUCACGGCCCAGCCAAACUGAUAUACACAUUUUUGGGGGGACAUAAUUCAAUCCAUGACAGCUACUUACUUGGUAUCUUUUUAUAUACCUGAUCAUUUUAUUGGAUUAUUUGUUCAUAUGAAGGUUUUCAAAUUAUUUUCUCAGGUAUUGUCAUGGGUUGAAUUGUGUCCCCCCAAAAUAUGUGUUGACUUGGUCAGGCCAUGAUUCCCAACACUAUGUGGUUGUCCUUCAUUUUGUGACUGUAGUUUAAUGUUAAAGAGGAUUAGGGUGGGACUGUCACACCCUUCCCAGGUCACAUCCCUGAUCCAAUGUAAACGGAGUUUCCCUGGAGUGUGGUCUGCUCCACCUUUUAUCUUACAAGACAUAAAAGGAAAGGGAAGUAAGCAGAGAGUGGGGGACCUCAUAUCACCAAGAAAGAAGCACCAGGAGCAGAGCAUGUCUUUUGGACCCGGGGUUCCUGUGCAGAAAAACUCCUAGUCUAGGCGAAGACUGAUGAGAAGGACCUUCCUCCAGAGCCAGCAGGAAAAGAAACCCUUCCCCUGGAGCUGAGGCCCUGAAUAAUUUGGACUUCUAGCCUACUAGACUGUGAGAGAAUAAAUUUCUCUUUGUUAAAGCCAUCCACUUGUGGUAUUUCUGUUAUAGCAGCACUAGAUGACUAAGACAAGUAUUCUUGGUAUAUAUACCAUUGCCAGCAAAUGAAUAUUUUUGUCUCAUUCAUUGCAAAAAAAAAAGAAAACUUUUUUUUUUUCUAUUUAACAUCUUAUACAUUGGAUAGAAUUCCAGAAGAGUCUCAUGGUUAUUUAUUCAUUCACUAAUAUUUAGUGAGUGUCUAGCCCUUUUCUGGCUAGCAAUCUGAACUAGACUUAGAUCGUUUUCAGAACCUCAUACUUGUUUGAACCACUCAUCCCAUUUAUUGUAAUUGUAAUUACAUGUUUCCCAUGCUAGUGUUCAGGCUUUUCAUGUGGAAGAUCUUUUUUUUUAGUCUUCAUAACCCUAGCACAUAGCUUCAAACAUACUAAAAAAAAAUUUUUUUUUUUCACUAAUGCUUGACAAAAGGAGGGAUGAAUGACACAGUUUGUAGUCAGAGGCAUGUCUACGAAGAAUGAGCUAAGAAGGAUGUGUUCAUUUGGUUCAAAAGUACAACAUUUCCGUCCACCAAACAGUUAUCAACUUCCAACCAAAGACCUGUGAUUUUGGAGAACAAAAAUAUUACCAGCAGUACAGCUGAAGUGAAGGGAUUGCUAUGCCAAGAAAUGAUCUGUGCAGAGAAAGCAGCAGGAAGCACGAAGACUUUGCCAAGAAAUCUUAUUUUUAGACUGCUUAUAUGCAGAAUGUUCAUGCCUCUCUUAUCACUGGGGAGAUUCUAAGUAAUGAGCCUCAGAGCAGGCUUUCUUUGAUAUGCUUGGUAAUGAGUUAAUUGUGGGAUCAAAGUUCUAGUAGCUACACAAAUGAAAUUAAGGAUUUUGGUGUUUACUCUUAUGCAGAAGUAAAAAUGGAUAGUGGUAGGGUUAGUUAAUAUGGAGAAUAAUGCGUAGAAAGUAUCAUUUUCUUGCCCUAAUUGUCAUAUUAAGUCUAGGGUUCCAUAUGUGAAUGGUGCACCUUUCAUUUAAAAUCUUAAUCCUAAAACGUAGUUUCGAAGUUUAAGAAUGUAUACGUUAAUUUACUGUUCUUAGCAUGUCUCAUUUUUAGCAUAUAUACAAAGACUUUAACAAUUCUAGUCAUCGAUUUGUAUGUAAAGUAAUUGGGAAGAGAAAAAAAGGGAUUCUGUAGUCUAGACUACUGCUUUUCAUAUCAGGUAUGUAUAUGUUGGGAGGAAUUGACUUAAAUUCAGCGGUCCAAAAAUUCCAUGCAAGCUAUUGCUGUAGACUAACUUUAUAACUAAAAAAUUUGUGUUCUCUGAGUGAGAAUUCUUGGAUUUAUACUUGUUAUCAUAGCUCAUUCUAUUCAAGCUCUAAACAAGAUGUGCUGGUGGCCUUUUUUGAAGGUUGGAGGGUUGGUAAUAGUAGGCCCAGGGGCCAAGACGAAAAUACUGUUUUCUAAAAACAGAGAAGUUUACCAAUGAUGUUGUGGAAUUUUCAAUAAGCAUACUCUGGGUAACAUAAGAACUCAGAUUCAAUCGUUCUUUUAAUCUGCAUCAUUUAAAAUAAGGAAUUGUGAUAAAUGGAAAGACCAGGACAUUCCUUUUUGGCUGGUUACUAGUAGAUAAAUGCUAUGUAUUUGCCAAACACUCCUUACACAUUCAAAAAUAAUGAGAAGAUAAAAACAAACUAAUAGGAUUUUUUUUUUUAAUUUCUCAAAAUGGAAUAAAUAUAUUCUAAGUAUUCGUGAAGAAAGAUUCUGGCACAUUCACAACAUAUAAAUUGUCUCAUGAACACUAAAAACAAUAAAUCUUUGUUAUUGUCACUAAUUCUGGAUAAAAAAGAAUUCUGGAUAGUCAACAGUUAUUUCAUUGUGCUAUUACUCAUUUCACUUUCAAAAAUUAUGAUGGGAAAAAUUCUACUCUGAUGCAAGACUGUUGUUGUCAGGAGCUGUCGAGUCAGUUCUGACUUAUAGCAACCCUAUGUACAACAGAAUGAAAAACUGCCUGAUUCUGCACCAUCCUCACAAUCUUUGCUAUGCUUGAGCCCAUCAUUGCAGCCACUGUGUCAAUCCAUCUUAUUGAGGGUCUUCCUCUCUUUCGCUGACCCUCUGUUUUACCAAGUAUGAUGUCCUUCCCCAGGAACUGGUCCCUCCUGAUAUGUCCAAAGUAUGUGAGAUGAGCCUAGCUUUUUUUUUUUUCCUCCCAUUAAGAUAUAGUACUAGAUAAUAAAAAUACACGACAGAAAGUAUUACUCAGGUGCAGGGUUUUAAGCUAGUCAGGUAUUAUACUAUUGUGUGGGAACACGCAUAGAACCUUAGGGAGGUAAAGAAGGGAAAAUAAAUCAAGAAUUUUCUGAUGUGUAUUAUGAUCCACAGAAAGCAUAUAUUGUCAAAAAGAAUGUAAAUAAUAACUAAGGUUAGCCAAAACACUGAAUAGCUUUCCGCCACCCCAGACUUCAGUAUUCCAAGAAAAACAUUUCCUAAAUGGCACUAAUGCUCUUGCAUAGAAACAUAAUAUCAUAAAAAAUCAGGUAUUUGUGAACAGUGGCUCUGUGGCUAUAUUUAUAUGUUGAAUCAGGACUUUCAUCAUAAAAACUAUAAAUAAAAUGUAAAACCUUUGCUUCAAAUAUUAGUAGUCAAAUACAUAUAUAAUGCUUAAAUUAUUUUUUAUUUUACACAAUGAAUCCAGAGCUGAUAAGAAAGAAGCACUUACAUUUUGAGUCUAUAGUAUCACUUCAUCUAGGCUAAUGUGAAUAGGAAAAAACUUUUCCAUUGCUAAACGAUGGAAAAGUUCACUCAAACCAAUAAAGUUUUAAAAUAUCUCUAAGUGAACAAAGCCCAAGUUUCCAUCAGAUGAUGCUGUCUCAUGAGGUUGUCUGCAUAUUAAGCAGUCCCAGUGGCUACAGAGCUGACUUUCAGAAACACUAAAGCUUUGAGAAGAAAUAGAAACCAUAUUUUGGUUUAGAAAGCCAAUUUUGAAAGUGUUUUUCUGAGCACAUUUUCAAUUCCAUCUUUUUCUAAAAGCUUCUAGUUUCUACCUUUGUCUUUAUCAUUAAAAAAACACUGGUAUUAUUGAACAUAAUCGUUACAGCACUAUUAUUUAAUAAUUGGCACCCUAUAUUAUACAUAUUUCAUAUAAUUAUAUAUAGUCACAUUAUAUAUAUGCACACAUACAUAUUCAUAUAAGUAGCUUAUACACAUAUAAUAUACUUACUGUGUGCCAGACAUCCUUUUAGGUGUUUUAUUUUUUAUGUAUGUCAGCUAAUCCUCCCUACAAACCUGUGUAGUAUCAUUAUCCCCAUUUUACCAAAGAAACAGAGAGCCAGAGAGGUUAAGGAACUUGCCUAAAGUCACACUUUGUAGGUGGCAGAAUUAAGAUUCCAAAGUUGGCAGCCCAUUUUCAACAUACACACUCCUAAGUACUUACAGAAGAAAGGUUAGCAGAUGAUUAUUUUCAGUAAGAAAUUGACUUCAGUGAGUAGGCAGUGAUCAGCUGACAAAAAAUCCUAACCUAAAGCAUUGCUCACUCCUGAAUAUCUGACCAGGUGAUGACAUGGGUACAUGUGUGUUUGUGUGUGUGCUCACGUCCUGUUGUUAACUGCAUGUGAGAAAUUCCUAAAGACAUAUGAGGCAGAACCUUUUAGAAAGACAUUACUUAUUAUUUCAGAAAACGUCUGUCUAUCCAUUUGGUCUAAGGGCUAGAAAAUUCUUUUUCAUUUCUGAAAGAAAUUAUAAACUCUGAAGUAUCUGUCUUAGGCUGGGUUCUCUAGAGAAAUAAAACCAGUAAAGCAUAUAAAUAUGUAUAGAUAGAGUGAUUUAUAGGGUCGCUAUGAGUCUGAAUCAACUCGAUGGCAGUGGGUUUGGUUUUUUGGGGGUUAGAGUGAUUUAUAUCAAAGAAACGGCUCAUGCAGAUGUAGAGUCCAUAAUGUCCCAAGUCUGUGGGUCAGGAUAAAGGCUUCUCCUAAUUAAUGUAACUGCAGGGGCUGGUGAACCCAAGAUCAGCAAGUCGGAGAGCAGGCUUCUUGCCCACAGGCUGUGAAGACCAAUGAAUCCCAAGUUUGGCAGGCAAGGCCACAGCCACAGUGUCAACCCAUCUCAUUGAGGGUCUCCGCUGAUCCUCUACUUUACCAUGCAUGAUGUCCUUCUACAGCAAUGGAGUCCUGAUGAUGUGUUCAUAGUAAACAAGAACAAGUCUUGCCAUCCUUGUUCCUAAGGAGCAUUCUGGUCGUACUUCCUCCAACAUUGAUUUGUUCAUUCUUCUGGCAGUUCAUGGUGUAUUCAAUAUUUUUCACCAACACUGCAAUUUGAAUGUGUCAAUUCUUCUUAAGUCAUUCCUUUUUCAUUACCCAGCUUUCACAUGCAUAUGAUAUGACUGAAAAGAGAGUGGCUUGUUUUUUAAGAUUUUAAAGAAGAUUUUUGCCACAGAUUGGCCGAAUGCAAUACAUCAUUUAAUUUCUAAACUGAUGCUUCUAUGGGCAUUGAUUGUUGAUCCAAGUAGAAUGAAAUCGUUGACAACUUCAAUUUCUUCACUGUUUAUCGUGAUGUUUAUGGGCCCAAUUCUGAGGAUUUUCAUUUUCCUCAAAUUGAAGACUUCUUACCUUUGUUGGUAAGUGCUUCACAUUGUCUUCAUUUUCAGCAAACAAAACUGUAUCAUCUUCAUAUUGCAGAUUGUUAAUGAGUCUUCCUCCCAUCCUGAAACUACAUUCUUGUUCAUAUAGUCCAGCUUCUAGGAUUAUUUGUUCAGUAGACAAAUUGGAUAAGUACGGCAAAAGAAUCAACACUGCUGAACACAUUUUCCAGUUUUAAACUUCACGUUAUCCUUAUUUUCUGUUUGAAUGACUUUCUCUUGAUCUAUGUACAGGCUCUGCAUAAGCAUAAAAUGUUCUAGAGUUCCCAUUCUGACACACAUGGAGUUACCAAGAGUCAGAAUCAAGUCAGUGGCAACUGGUUAUUGGUUAGACUAAACCUAUAGUGAAUUCAGGAGAAUUCCAGGCUGACCAAGAAAAAAAAUAUGAUGAUAAGAUAGCAGUGUUGCAUAAUAAGAUAUUUACUGGGGCCUACACAAUGAUAUCAUUUUUUUUUUACACAAUGAAAUCAUCAUAUAGGGUCGCUAUGAGUCGGAAUCGACUUGACGGCACUGGGUUUGGUUUUUUUGGUUUGACACACUAAUAUUUGCAUGUAGGGGACUACCCCCCACAGCAGGAGUUCUUCCAGAGGCAAGAGGUGCAGGGAAAGCCAUAAGGGGAACAAGGCAUGGAAAACUCCAGGGGACAGAAGAAGGAAAAAGGGUUGUUUUCCUUCAAGACAUCCUUCUGCAGCAAGGUGGGGAGUCUCUGGCUCAGAGAAUGCAAAAAGCAGGAGCACCUUAGGGUCCUUAUAACUACAGGGUUUUAUCUUAUCUAGGUCUACCAGAUGUUGGGUGCAGUUUCUUGGGGUGUAUAAAGCAGGCAGGCUGUAAGUGGCUAAAAACUGCUUACUUGGAUUAUUUUUUUAAAUAAUUUGAUAUGUACAAAUUUGAAUUUGGUAAGGGGGGAACUUUUUUGGGUUAACAGGUCUCAGCUUGCCAGCUUGCUAUGAAGAAGCAAAUAACUUGGGACCAAUAUAGAGGCCACCUUCAGCUCAUUUUCAUAAAAAAACCUACCUAACAAAUAAUAGUUCUAAGUAAUCUUCCUCCAUCUUGGCUUUUCUAGUUUGGAUCUACGUCCCUCUGCAACCAGCAACUAUUUUUCCUUUGCCCUUCACAGGUCAAGAACUUACAUUCUUCAUUAUUAUAGACAGCUGUGAAGGGAAACAUUUUGUUUAAAAAAAAUUACUUGAACUUGUAAACAGUCUGGAAGAAAUUCUUGUAAUGCAAAAAAAAACCUAACCUAAGAGUACAGACCUACCUGAUACAGUUCAUAUUUAUUUGGCCUUAAGUAGACUUUUAUACUGAUAACCAGAAAAGGGAGCCAUGAUGGUGUACUUCUAUAAAGAACUAAAAGAUAUUUCAUAAGUAUUUGACAGGUGAAUGAUUUAAUAACUAAGACUGAAGCUAUGCCUUAAAAACUAUUUUAAUUAUGAGAUGAGUUGUUACUAGGUCAAUACCUAAUGAACUGUCUAAUGUAAAACAUAGUUAUUUUAUUUUACUGGAACAAUUCUACAACAUAUUUGAAUUCUGAUUGGGAGCAGUAAAGAUUUCUCAGUUUGAUUUUUAGCCUUCAAAGCUUACAGCUAAAUGCACUGAAGGAGGUAUUUCAAAACCACACUUAGGAAGAAUUGUUUCUAAAAGCUAAAUCAAAAUGAAAUAAAGUAAGUAAAAAUAGCUCUUAGCACAUUAAAUCUAAUUAUUCUGUCUUAGAUAAUAAUCUGUGUAAUAGUUUGUAUAAGGUUCAGGCCAUUCAAUUUUGAAAUGCUUUGAAGAUUAGGGGAUGUGCUUACAACAGAAGGUAUAUGAAAAAUGCUUAAAAUGGUGGCUUAAUUUAUGUCACACCAAGCACUUGAGCGUGGGAUUUUGUUCUAUUUCAUCUGAUAUUUUUUCUUCUCAUCCUUAUUUUAUACCCAAUAGCCUAAGCUUCAGAACAAAAUGACCCCCAGGCAAGAAAGACAUUAAGGCAAAAUAAUUCAUAAAGUAAAACUAAUUUUUAGUGAAUUCUUCAAGGAAUUCACUGCUUCUUAACAUUUCAAAUUAACCUUUUCAUGUCACACAUUAUUAAAAAUAAAUCCAAUUAAAUUACAUAGCUUCGGUAAGAUAAUUUCCCCUCGGACUUCAUGAUGCUAUUUCUAUUUCUCCAGGGAAAACGACAUUUUUAAAACUAAAGAAAUUAUAAUUUUAAACUUUAUGUAGUACAAAUAUGUACGCAGAAUUUAACAAUAUUUGUUGUUGUUGUUAGGUGCCCUCGAGUUGAUUCUGACUCAUGCUGUUGCUGUUAGGUGCCGUCAAGACUCUUCUGACUCAUAGCGACCCUAUGUACAACAGAACGAGACACUGCCCGGUCCUGUACUAUCCUUACAAUCACUUGAGUCCAUUGUUGCAACCACUGUGUCAAUCGCAUCGUUGAGGGUCUUCUUUUCCGCUGACCCUGUACUUUACCAAACAUGAUGUCUUUCUCCAGGGACUGAUCCCUCCUGACAGUACGUCCAAGGUAUGUGAAACAUAGUCUCACCAUCCUUGGUUCCAAGAAGCAUGCAGGUCACACUUCUUCCAAGACAAAUUUGUUCAUUCUUUUGGCAGUCCAUGGUAUAUUCAAUAUGCUUCGCCAACACCACAAUUCAAAGGCGUCAACUCUUCUUCGGUCUUCCUUAUUCAUCGUUUAGCUUUCACAUGCAUAUGAUGCGACUGAAAAUAACAUGGCUUGGGUCAGGUGCACCUUAGCCUUCAAGGUGACAUCCUUGCUUUUUAACACUUUAAAGAGGUCCUUUGCAGCAGAUUUGCCCAAUGCAAUGCCUCUUUUGAUUUCUUAACUGCUGCUUCCAUGGCUGUUGAUUGUGGAUCCAAGUAAAAUGAAAUCCUUGACAACUUCAAUCUUUUCUCCAUUUAUCAUGAUGUUGCUUAUUGUCCAGUUGUGAGGAUUUUUGUCCUCUUUAUGUUGAAGUGUAAUCCAUACUGAAGGCUGUGGUCCGCGAUUUCAUUAGUAAGCAUUUCAAGUCCUCUUCACUUUGAGCCAGCAACAUUAUGUCAUCUGCAUAAUGCAGGUUGUUAAUGAGUCUUCCUCCAAUCCUGAUGCCCCGUUCUUCUUCAUAUAGUCCAGCUUCUCGGAUUAUUUGCUGAGCAUACAGGUUGAAGAGGUAUGGUGAAAGGAUACAACCCUGACUCACACCUUUCCUGACUUUAAACCAAUCAGUAUCACCUUGUUCUGUCUUAACAACUACCUCUUGAUCUAUCUACAGGUUCCUCAUAAGCACAAUUAAGUGUUCUGGAAUUCCCGUUCUCCACAAUGUUAUCCAUAAUUUGUUAUGAUCCACACAAUCAAAUUCCUUUGCAUAAUCAAUAAAACACAAGUAAACAUCCUUCUGGUAUUCUCAGCUUUCAGCCAAGAUCCAUCUGACAUCAGAAAUGAUAUCCCUGGUUCCACGUCCUCUUCUGAAUCUGGCCUGAAUUUCUGGCAGUUCCGUGUUGAUAUACCGCUGCAGCUGCUUUUGAAUGAUCUUCAGAAAAAUUUUGCUUGCAUGUGAUAUUAAUGAUAUCGUUUGAUAAUUUCUACAUUCAGUUGGAUCACCUUUCUAGGGAAUAGGCAUAAAUAUGGAUCUCUUCCAGUCAGUUGGCGAGGAAGCUGUCUUCCAUAUUUCUUGGCAUAGAUGACUGAGCACUUCCAGUGCUGCCUCCAUUUGUUGAAACAUCUCAAUUGAUAUUCUGUCAAUUCCUGGAGCCUUGUUUUUCAUCAAUGUCUUGUCAUCUUCCAGCACUAUAUCAGAUGAUGUUCCGCUGCUAUUCAUAAGGUUUUCACUGGCUAAUUCUUUUCAGAAGUAGACUGCUGGUCCUUCUUCCUAGUCUGUCUUAGUCUGGAAGUUCAGCUGAAACUUGUCCUCCAUGGGUGACCCUGCUGGUAUUUGAAUACUGGUGGCAUAGCUUCCAGCACCACGGCAACUUGCAAGCCCCCACAGCAUGACAAACUGACAGACAGGUGGAAGUUCUGACUCAGAGUUAUUCUAUAUGACAGAGUAGAACUGACCCAUAUGAUUUCCUAAGCUGAAAUUUUUACAGGAGGAGAUCACCAGGUCUUUUUUUCCUUGAGGAAUUGCUGGCAGGUUCAAACCACUCACAUUUUGGUUAGCAUCCAAGCUCUUAACCUUUGCACCACCAGGGCUCCUUUUAACAAUAUUACUAUCUCAUAUAUCCACAAUAUGUGAACAGGACCAUUUAGUGAAUUAUCUAAGAACAUGGCCUCCCACAGACCUGGUUUCCCCACACAAUUUAUAUGUAGAUUGCCAAUGAGGUAAGAAGCAUCUUAAGAAACCUUACAACUUAAUCCCACCCCUUCUGGAGCAAGGGAGAAUGAAGAAAAUCAAAGACACAAGGGAAAGAUUAGUCCAAAGGACCAAUGGACCACAACUACCACAGCCUCCACCAGACUGAGUCCACCACACCUAGAUGGUGCCUGGCUACCAUCAUCGACUACUCUGACAGGGAUCACAAUGGAAGGUCCUGGACAGAGCUGGAGAAAAAUGUAUAACAAAAUUCUAACUUACAAAAAAAGACCAGAUUUACUGGUCGAAUAGAUACUGGAGAAACCCCGAGAGUAUGGCCCCCAGACACCCUUUUAACUCAGUACUAAAGUCACCCCUGAGGUUCACCCUUCAGCCAAGGAUUACACAGACCCAUAAACAAAAUGAGAUGAAAAUGGCACACCAGGACAAGAAGGUAAGAGGGGACAGGAAAGCUGGUAACGGGAGCCUAAGAUCCAGAAGGCAAGAAUGUUGACAUGUCAUGAGGUUGGCAGCCAAUGUCACAAAACAAUAUGUGUAUUAAUUGUUUAAUGAGAAACUAAUUUGCUCUGUAAACCUUCAUCUAAAGUACAAUUAAAAAAUAAAAAAAGAAAAGAAACCUUUCAACUCAAACACUUAAAAAAUAUAUAUUGGUUCCUCUUUAAAGGCUGGUUGCAUAGUGGUUAAGUGCUAUGGCCUGCUAACCAAAAGGUCAGUAGUUUGAAUCCACCAGGAACUCCUUGGAAACCCUGUAGGGCAGUGCUACUCUGUUCUAUAAGGUCGCUAUGAGUCGGAGUCCACUCGAUAACAAUGGGUUCGGUUUUGGUUUUUGGUUUUAAAGGCUAAGAUCAUAAAAAUGAGGAAAGGUAGGCAAAAUAAGCCUGAUAAAGAAAAGGCAGGAAAAGUAGCAAUGAAGCACAAUAAGUGAUUAAGGGACUAUCGCAUUUUUAGUUAUGCUAGAGACAAGUUGUAAAAGUGAUUAGAACAAAACAAAGUCUUUUAAGAGAUACAGUUGAUACAAACACAUUUGUCCCAUGCUCCUUCUCUGAGGCCUAAACAGAACAUUAUCCUGAAAUAUAAAUGAGCUCAUAUCCCAUAUUUGGCAUCCAGAGCAAUCUUUAUUUUGCAACCCUCAAUGCAGCACUAUAAACAUCCUUCUUGAAGUUUAGCAAUUUGUGUUUUUCUUUUUAAAUCAAUGGACACUUUUGAGCAUCAGCUAUGUGCUAAGUGCUGUGCCUUGUGCACAGAAAACCUGCUAUACAGGGGGUUAGAGCUCUUGCAUUUGAGCUCAGAAACCCUGGUGGUGUAGUGGUUAAGUGCUACAGCUGCUAACCAAAAGGUUGGCAGUUUAAAUCCACAAGGUGAUUCUUGGA